AAGAAAGUGGCAGAACGGUUUUGUAAGUGGUUUGAAACCAUUGUAAGGGGGUUCAAUUCCUUCCUUUCUCG
rnacentral:tRNA from 1 species